rnacentral:lncRNA from 1 species
GACAAACUAGAGAGAACUGCAAGGACUCAGUACAUCCCUGGCACAGUCCAUUCUCUCUCACAGCAUAUUGUAUGAGACUGUGUGAGUGCUGCUUCCACGCUACACUAAAAACCCAUGGUCCCUGCAUUAUUUGAGCAACUGACAAGCUUCUGAAGUUCAGGUUCGCGAACGCUGAGAGCAGCACCCAGUGGAUUUGUGGCAGAUGCCCAAAGCAAAAAGAGUGAAGCAGUCAGAAUUUCAGACACUGUGAACAACUCCCCUUGGGGUACCUCUGGGGCUGGCGUCUUUACAUCACGACGACAGAAAGCUGGCCCGCACAGACUAUGGCCACGGCGUCUUAGAGGUUUUGUUUCUCUGCAGGCGUCCAGUGCUCUGUUUCUUUCCCUCCUCACCACUCUCCAAACCACACUCACACAAAUACACGUCCCUAUGUGCAAAGACGCGCAUAUGUAUAUUGUAUAUCAGUGUGACACUCACACAUACGUGCGGUGUUAGCAUAGCCUUUCCCCCUCGAGUCCCUGUUGUGCUUCCCAGCACCCAGCAUCCUCCAAAGCAGGCAGUGGCACACUAUCACUCAUAAACUAAAUCCAGCCACUGCCUGCUUUGUAAAUAAAGUU